CUGCUGCCUCCCGUAGGAGUUUGGGCCGUGUCUCAGUCCCAAUGUGGCCGGCCACCCUCUCAGGUCGGCUACUGAUCGUCGCCUUGGUGGGCCGUUAUCUCACCAACCAGCUAAUCAGACGCGGAUCCAUCCCAUACCACCGGAGUUUUUCACACCGGACCAUGCGGUCCUGUGCGCUUAUGCGGUAUUAGCAGUCAUUUCUAACUGUUAUCCCCCUGUAUGAGGCAGGUUAUCCACGCGUUACUCACCCG
rnacentral:rRNA from 1 species